rnacentral:rRNA from 1 species
GGGCCCGCACAAGCGGUGGAGCAUGUGGUUUAAUUCGAUGAUACGCGAGGAACCUUACCAGGGCUUAAAUGGGAAAUGACAGGGGCAGAGACGCCCCCUUCUUCGGACAUUUUUCAAGGUGCUGCAUGGUUGUCGUCAGCUCGUGCCGUGAGGUGUCAGGUUAAGUCCUAUAACGAGCGCAACCCCUACCGUUAGUUGCCAGCGAGUCAUGUCGGGGACUCUAACGGGACUGCCGGUGCAAACCGUGAGGAAGGUGGGGACGACGUCAAAUCAUCACGGCCCUUACGUCCUGGUCACACACGUGCUACAAUGGUAGGUACAACGAGUCGCAAUACCGCGAGGUGGAGCAAA